UCCGAAGUGCCGCGGAAAGUGGAGGU
rnacentral:piRNA from 1 species